rnacentral:rRNA from 1 species
UGCCAGCAGCCGCGGUAAUACGGAGGGUGCAAGCGUUACUCGGAAUCACUGGGCGUAAAGGACGCGUAGGCGGGUUGGAAAGUCGGGUGUGAAAUCCUACAGCUUAACUGUAGAACUGCACUUGAAACUUCCAACCUAGAGUAUGGGAGGGGGAGAUGGAAUUAGUGGUGUAGGGGUAAAAUCCGUAGAUAUCACUAGGAAUACCGAAAGCGAAGGCGAUCUCCUGGAACAUUACUGACGCUAAGGCGUGAAAGCGUGGGGAGCAAACGGGAUUAGAUA